AUUUGUGAAACUUUGAUUUAUUUUCUAUUUGUCUACAAUUUGUUUGGGUUUGUGAAACUUUUAUUCAUUGUUGAUAUUUAGACACAACUUUAAAACACGUACCUCAGCUAAUGUUUUCAUGGAUUUUUUUUUUUUUUUUUGGCACAAUAACGUAACACGAUUGUCUCGGCUUGGCGGUGUCUUUGAGUGUGCGCAACUUCCUUGGUGAUUCAUUUUGAAUAAUCAACAAGAUUGUCACUGUUGUAAAAGUAGAGUCCCCAAAUGCCUAUAAAAGUUUCCCCCUUCCCUAACUCAAUACACACAUUCAAUGAAGAGAAAACAUUCCCCUUCUCUCUCUCUCAAUUCUCUCCAUAAUUCCUCUUGAUUUAUAACAGUCACCAUAUACAUGGAAGUCUUGGUCGUGAUAGAAAGCAAAAAAGGUGUGGACGAAGGGGAUCACCACAAGCAAAAGUCACUCUCCCGAUAUUAAAAAAACAAAAGGAAAAUGCACAAGCAAAUCUUGGACUGUCUAAUGAUCGGAUGAAAAGCUCCUUGCCAAGACAGGCACGAUAUAUCAGUUUUCUUUUGGAAUUACCUUUUAGGUGCAUAUAUAACAUAUACAUGUCAAGGUGUUUUUUUUUUAUGUUAUAGGAACAAGCACACACAAGGAAUGAUGCUUCUGAUAACUACAGGGAUACUCAUGAAUGCUUGCAACAAAUAGAUGAAUAUGAGACUCUUGAAGGGCAUAAUGGAAUGAAAGCAAAUUAUAAUUUGUGGACCUCAGACAUGCAUGAAUAUUUUGCUGGUCAAGCUACACAAGAUGGAAUAGUUGAUACAUAUUAGAGAAGAUUUGCAUAUGAAGCCUCGGAAGAUGAGUAGUGAAGUCGUAUACUUUUGAAGAAGAGAAGUGAAGCGAAGUCUGGGAAGAUUAAUCAUCUUUCGUUUCUACUACUACUAGACUCUGGAAAUUUUUGGGAAGACUUUAAUAUUGUAUAAAGAUUUCACUAUUUGUGUUUUGUAACCGUUGCUAAUAUUAAAAUGUGUUAUUUUGUUUCUACUCA